GACGAACGCUGGCGGCGUGCUUAACACAUGCAAGUCGAACGCGCCUGUCCUCUGGGUUUCUGGGGGGUGGGUGAGUGGCGAACGGGUGAGUAACACGUGAGUAACCUGCCCCCUUCUUCGGGAUAACGGUCUGAAAGGGCUGCUAAUACCGGGUAUUCACUGGUCUCCGCAUGGGGUCUGGUGGAAAGGUUUUUUUCUGGUGGGGGAUGGGCUCGCGGCCUAUCAGCUUGUUGGUGGGGUGAUGGCCCACCAAGGCUUUGACGGGUAGCCGGCCUGAGAGGGUGACCGGUCACAUUGGGACUGAGAUACGGCCCAGACUCCUACGGGAGGCAGCAGUGGGGAAUAUUGCACAAUGGGCGCAAGCCUGAUGCAGCGACGCCGGGUGAGGGAUGGAGGCCUUCGGGUUGUGAACCUCUUUCGCCCGUGGUCAAGCCGCGACGUGGGUCGUGGUGAGGGUAGUGGGUAAAGAAGCGCCGGCUAACUACGUG
rnacentral:rRNA from 1 species